GUAGGGCUUCGGCCCUGUCGAGAUAGAACCUUUGCCUUUUCGAGUACCUUUCGUUUCCUCGGCAGGCUCGCCUGCCAAUGGGGACCACAAAAAACACUUUGCAGUACCUGUAACAGUCUGAACAAACAAAACAAAAAUUAAAACUUUCAACAACGGAUCUCUUGGUUC
rnacentral:misc_RNA from 1 species